rnacentral:rRNA from 1 species
AGCAGCCGCGGUAAUUCCAGCUCCAAUAGCGUAUAUUAAAGUUGUUGCAGUUAAAAAGCUCGUAGUUGAAUUUCGGGAUCAAUUUGCUGGUCGUGCCUUCGGUACGCACUGGUAUUAUUGGUUUCUCCUUUCUGAUGAAUCGCGAUGUCAUUAAUUUGGUGUCGUGGGGAAUCAGGACCGUUACUUUGAAAAAAUUAGAGUGUUUAAAGCAGGCUCACGCUUGAAUACAUUAGCAUGGAAUAAUGAAAUAGGACGUUUGAUUCUAUUUUGUUGGUUUCUAGGAUCGACGUAAUGAUUAAUAGGGAUAGUUGGGGGCAUUAGUAUUCAAUUGUCAGAGGUGAAAUUCUUGGAUUUAUUGAAGACUAACUACUGCGAAAGCAUUUGCCAAGGAUGUUUUCAUUAAUCAAGAACGAAAGUUAGGGGAUCGAAGACGAUCAGAUACCGUCGUAGUCUUAACCAUAAACUAUGCCGACUAGGGAUCGGAUGAUG